UUUUUAUAAAAAAAUAAAAAAAAGGAAAAAUAAAUUUUUCGUAACACUCAUGUGUUUAUGUCAAUUUGGGACGUUACAAGUUAUGUUCCAGGUUUCAGAUCUUAAGAGAUUGAAAGAACAAUAUGAUAACUUUAGUCCCAAGUCUUAUAUAUUGACAAGAUACUUGUCAUAUUUGCUAUGCAAGAUGUUGCCCUCAAGUAUCGAAUCCAAUUUUUUAAGGAUCAAUCCCAGAAGAUUCCUAAAGAGAUUGAGUAUAUGAGUAGGAUGCCUUAUGCGUUAGUAAUAGGUAGUCUCAUGUAUGUUAUGCUGUGCAAUAGAUCUAACAUUUCUCAUAUUGUGGUAUGGUGAGUCGAAAUCUAUUUAACCUUAGGAUCGAAUAUUGAAUGGUGAUAAAGCAUAUCUUUUAGUAUCUCUGGAAAACAAGGAAUUAUAUGCUCCUCACUAGAUCUUAUUUCGAUAGGUUAGGAUUCAGAGUUCUAGAGUGAUAAAGAUAUCACUGGUCUACAUCGGUAUCGUUGUUUAGAUUUGAUGGUGGGGCCAUUAUUUGGAGAAGUUUUAAACAAUUAUGUAUUUCUGAUUCCACCAUUGAUGCUAAGUAUGUGGCAUCUUAUGAAGCUACCAAAUUGGCUUUAUGACUUUAAAAAAUCCUUACGAAUAUCAAGCUUGUGCCUGCAUCUGCACAAUCCUUUACACCAUAUUGGGAUUAUAGUAGGAUUGUUAGAAACACUAAAGAACCAAGAGUCAUAAGAGGGGUAAACAAAUUGAACGAAACUAUAAUCUCUUAAGAGAGAUAGUUGGUAGAGAAAAUGUGGUUGUCAGUAAAAUUGCUACUGUGAUAAUCUUGUAGACUCGUUUACUAAGACCUAUUGACUAAGUUUUCGAGGGACAUCUGUAGACAUUAGGUUGCAAGACGCAUACUCUAAGGCAAGUGAGAGAUUUGUUGGGUUGUGUGCCCACAUAGUAUAUUUUGCAUGAUGAAAUAAUUAUUUAUAAUAAAUAAGUUGUGAUUUUAUUUAUUGUUGAGCAUGCGAAUUAAAAGUGCCAAUGAUCACUUGAGAUAAUAUAAGUUGUGUACUUGCGUAUACUUUUUUCAUAAAUAAUUUGUUCACAACCCAUGUAUAAGUGCUGGCACCUUGUAUUGGAAGGCUGUAGUGUUGAUCGAUUCACUAUUCAGGUUUGUGAUUUGUCCUUAUCAUAGAAA
rnacentral:lncRNA from 1 species